rnacentral:rRNA from 1 species
UACGUAGGGUGCGAGCGUUGUCCGGAAUUAUUGGGCGUAAAGAGCUUGUAGGUGGUUUGUCGCGUCUGCUGUGAAAAUCCGAGGCUCAACCUCGGACUUGCAGUGGGUACGGGCAGACUAGAGUGGUGGUAGGGGAGACUGGAAAUUCCUGGUGUAGCGGUGGAAUGCGCAGAUAUCAGGAGGAACACCGAUGGCGAAAGGGCAGGGUCUCCUGGGCCAUUACUGACACUGAGAA